AAACGCUGAAGGCAUCUAAGCGUGAAGCCCCCCUCAAGAUGAGAUGUCCCAUUCGAAAGAAGUAAACCCCCUUGAAGACGACGAGGUAGAUAGGGCAGGGGUGGAAGUGCAGUAAUGCAUGGAGCUGACUGUUACUAAUAGGGUGAGGGCUUGACCAAG
rnacentral:rRNA from 1 species